GGUGAGGGGGGGGGGAUCCCUCAUCCUGGAUUGUGAGAGGGCACAGGCCAGGCUGAGGGACCCCACCAGUGCAUG
rnacentral:pre_miRNA from 1 species